GAAAAUGGAACAAGGGGACUCUAACUUGACUCAUCUUUGUCCUGGGCAGACUGCUUCUGUUCUUCCAUCUAUUGGAGUUUGUGUUGUGGACUCUAAGUGUUGUGAACUCUGUAGAAAAAAUGCUCAUUUUACAGAGACAGUUUUGCACUCGUGGGAAAGAAUCUGGUGCUGUGUGAAAGGUGGGGAAAGCAGAAAAACAAGCCGUUGUGAAGUCAUGUUUUCAUCUUCCAAAUUUCUUGUUCCUAAUGAUCGUGGACUCCAAGGAAAAAUGGGGGAUGUUCUAAGAGAAAUGUUAGAGUUCUGA
rnacentral:lncRNA from 1 species